rfam:Triticum aestivum genome assembly, contig: Triticum_aestivum_CS42_TGACv1_scaffold_053332_1BS
CUACUACUCCCUCCGUCCGAAAAUACUUGUCAUUGAAAUGGAUGUAUCUAGAUGUAUUUUAGUUCUAGACACAUCCAUUUUGAUGACAAGUAAUUCCGGACGGAGGGAGUAUUAU